rnacentral:rRNA from 1 species
UACGGAGGGUGCGAGCGUUGUCCGGAAUCACUGGGCGUAAAGGGCGCGUAGGCGGCUUGGGAAGUCCGUGGUGAAAGCUCGAGGCUCAACUUCGAGUCGGCCAUGGAUACUCCUAAGCUCGAGUCGACUAGAGGCAGAUGGAAUUCCGGGUGUAGCGGUGGAAUGCGUAGAGAUCCGGAAGAACACCGGUGGCGAAGGGCGGUCUGACCGGGGUCGAACGUGACGCUGA